rnacentral:rRNA from 1 species
CCUACGGGGGGCUGCAGUGGGGAAUAUUGGACAAUGGGGGCAACCCUGAUCCAGCCAUGCCGCGUGUGUGAAGAAGGCCCUCGGGUUGUAAAGCACUUUCAGUGAGGAAGAACGCCUGGUGGUUAAUACCCAUCAGGAAAGACAUCACUCACAGAAGAAGCACCGGCUAACUCCGUGCCAGCAGCCGCGGUAAUACGGAGGGUGCGAGCGUUAAUCGGAAUUACUGGGCGUAAAGCGCGCGUAGGUGGCUUGAUAAGCCGGUUGUGAAAGCCCCGGGCUCAACCUGGGAACGGCAUCCGGGACUGUCAAGCUAGAGUGCAGGAGAGGAAGGUAGAAUUCCCGGUGUAGCGGUGAAAUGCGUAGAGAUCGGGAGGAAUACCAGUGGCGAAGGCGGCCUUCUGGACUGACACUGACACUGAGGUGCGAAAGCGUGGGUAGCAAACAGGAUUAGAUACCCGAGUAGUC